UAUGUACUUCCUCCGUUCGGAAUUACUUGUCGCAGAAAUGGAUGUAUCUAGAUGUAUUUUAAUUUUAGAUACAUCCAUAUCUAUGACAAGUAAUUCCGAACGGAGGAAGUACCUU
rnacentral:pre_miRNA from 1 species